GAUGUCGUCAUGAACCGCACGCGCGCCAGGCAUGACUCGGCCAAGAUGGGAUCGGCCGAGCGGAGCGUGACUCAGCGGGAGGGCUGAGGGGUAAAAGGCCCGGCGAGGGGGAGGCUGGCGGUGGACUCGCGGCAGCGUCGGGUGACCGCUGAAGUGGUCAAGGAGCUUGAAGCAUCUGCCGGCCUAUGAUGGAGUUUCCGGACUUGGGCAAGCAUUGUUCAGAAAAAACUUGCAAACAGCUGGAUUUCCUUCCUUUAAAAUGUGACGCAUGUAAGGAAGUUUUCUGUAAAGAUCACAUCACAUACGACACACACAAAUGUACCUCUUCAUAUAAGAAGGAUGUGCAGGUUCCAGUAUGUCCUUUAUGUAACACUCCCAUCCCAGUGAGAAGAGGAGAGAUGCCAGACAUUGUAGUUGGAGCACACAUGGACAGGGACUGCAAAUAUGAUCCUACUCAGCAGAAACAGAGAAUUUUCACAAACAAGUGCUUAAAAGAGGGUUGCAAAAGGAAAGAGAUGAUGAAGCUUGUUUGUAACCAAUGCCAUGGGAACUUCUGUAUAAAACAUCGGCAUCCUCUGGAUCAUGACUGCAAAGUGGGAGGUCGCCCUAUCUCCAAAGCAGGGCACAGCUACCUUCCUUGCUCCAUGCAGUAGUAUUCUAGAGCAGUUGGGUGACCAGUUCUGCACAAAUCUGGAAGUGGAUGGAUGUGUGAUUGGUGGUGGAAUAAACAGAUGUUCAGCAUGGUUCUAUUUCCUUGUAGAUAUGCAGCUAUAAUGAGAGCAUCAGGAUCAAACAAGAUGUCCUCUAACUUAUCUUCACAACAGAUGCUGAUGAGCUGAGGCAGUCCUAAUGGCUGGAUUAAAUUCUCCUUUAAACUAUUGUAAAUGUAUUGCCUAAAGCUUGUGCAUAUUUUUCUACAGUACAAAUAAAAUUAUUUUAUCUAA